UGACUGCCGGCUAAAAGUCGGAGGAAGUGGGGAUGACGUCAAAUCAUCAUGCCCCUUAUGACCUGGGCUACACACGUGCUACAAUGGGCGGUACAAAGGGUCGCGAACCCGCGAGGGGGAGCCAAUCCCAAAAAGCCGCUCUCAGUUCGGAUUGCAGGCUGCAACUCGCCUGCAUGAAGCCGGAAUCGCUAGUAAUCGCGGAUCAGCAUGCCGCGGUCGAAUACGUUCCCGGGCCUU
rnacentral:rRNA from 1 species